rnacentral:lncRNA from 1 species
AUAAUAUAUAUAUAGAUAGAUAAAAUGUGUAUUUAUAAAUAAAAAUUGUUGUACAAAUUAUUUUCAUAUAAAUUGGUGUGUCUCUAAUUAAUUGAAUGAGAAUAAAAAAAAGUAAAAAUAAAUCACGAAAAUUGUGUGGUGUUUUCUAUUCAAUUAAUCAUUUUAUGUGAUCAAAAAAUAAUUUAUUUAAUAAUUUGUUUCACGACCCGACCCCUGAGUACUUGAGAAUUAGGAAUAUUUUAAUUGUUACAAUACUUAGAAAUAAUAUCCGAACAACACUAAAAUAAUGAGAAAUUUGAUUGAAGCACCUAUUUACCGCCAUAUUCAAGUCAAAUUCUAGUAAACCUUAUAAAUGCAAUAAAUAUGAAUAAACUAUAUCUAAAUCUAAAGUUAAAAGACUUCUGAGAAGACUCUAAAUUAUAACAGAAUAAUCGAUUGAAAACUAUGUACUUCUCAGUUAUAAGAAAACAUCCAACUCUCAUUUACUUUAUGUUGUCGACAUCCUACGACCUGAAAAAGCAUGAAUGAGCUAAUUCUUAGUGCAUAGAUACAAGCUAUUGAGAUUUUAAUAACAUUAAUACAACAAUAGAUAACCAUAUAUUAGUAAAGCAAUAAAACAACUUUCACACACAUAAGCAAUCUAAAAUAUGUACAUGCUAGCUCAACAACAUUUAAUCAAACAACAAACGUGCAAUCAUCAUACAAUGUCAAAUCACAUAAUUGAACAAGCUAACAUCCCAUUAAUAAUUAUAGUCAAUAAACAUAGCAUAGCCUAAAUGAAAGCCAACACAGUCACUUGUUGUCCUUAUGGAUACAGUGACCACCCACCCUGGAGACUACGGAGGGAUGAAGUAAAAUGAUUUAAUAUCUUUUCUCAGAGCACAAAUUGAUUUUCACCCUUAAGGAUAUAGUGACCACCCUUAAGACUAUGGAGAAAUGAAAUAAAAUGGUUUAAUAUCUUUUAUCGGAGCACAAACUGAUUUUCAUAGAAAUAUGGCAAUCUUAAUUUCAAAACUCUAUAGUUGAUGGUUGACAGUAGUAAAAUCAAUUAGUUUUUAGAGAAAUUAGGUGGCAAUUUGGGUCAAGAUUCGUUUUAUUCGAAAUGAAUUAAAUGGAUUUGGGUUCGAAAAAAUUAAGUUAUUUAAUAAAUGGGUGAAUUCGAUUCGAUUCGUUAAAUUAACGAAUUGAAUGUGGGUUUGAAGAUAUUGGUUCGUUUAUUCAUUUAAUAAAUGGGUUAUAAACAAAUCGAAUACAAUCUAAUCAUUUAAGAGUAAUGAUACAGCCACAAACUCUUGUACAAACUUAUUUUGUACAAACUGAUGUGGCAUUAAUUCAUUGGUUGAAUGAAAAUAUAAAUUAAUAAAAAAAAAUUAUGUGGGCCAAGUGAUAUUUAAUUCAACCAAUCUUAUCAUGCCACAUCAAUUUGUACAAAAUAAGUUUGUACAAGAGUUUGUGACUGUAUCAUUACUCAUCAUUUAAAAUUCGUUUAAUUAAAUUACUUAUUUAUUCUUAAAUAUUUAUGAAAUUUUUUAAAAUUUGAAAGUUAAUCUAGUAAUUAUAAAUAAUAAUAAGACAAUAUAUAAAUGAGAUGAAAAACUUUAUAGUUUAGAUUAUUUAUUUAAUUUCUGCAAAUGAAUCAUAUUCAAUUCAAUUUGUUAUGAAUUCAUUUAUUAUUAGGAUAAACGAAUAAUGAACGAAUUUGGAUUCAAUUCGAUUCGUUUAUUAAUUCUAUUAAAAGAAUUAAAAGAAUCGAACCGAAUAUUUAUUUAAUAAACGAAUCAAAUCCGAAUCCUAAGAUUUUAAUUUCCUUAAUAAACAAAUCGAAUUCGAAUGCAUAAAAUUUUGACCCAAUUUAUUUAAGAUUCAAUUAUAUUAUUUGUUUUGCCACCUCUAAGAGAAAUAUGGCAACUUUAAAAAAUUCAAUGAUGGGUGAUGAGUGACGAGUGACAUUUUGAAGAAUAUGACAACGAUGAUAGGUGACAAGUUGUAAAACCAAGUUAUUUUCUUUAGAAGAGUAGGACAACUUUAAAAUUCAGUGGGUGAUCUGCUGGAAAAUUGCAUCAGCCACCUCGAUAAAACUCUCAGUUUCAAAAACCAAAACACCCAUAACCGCAUAAACUACCUAUAAUCACUCCAAUCAACAUAAAGUCAGUUGUUUUGACAAAAAUCACUAGCAUGCAACCAGUACAGAAAAGGCCGAUGCAAUUGGGAAAUUUACAACAAUAGCCAAACAAAUUAGGGAUUUUUCAACUUUAACCCCUCAAAUUUUUUUCUAUCAACAUUAGCCAAAUCACCAAAUUGUGGACGAAAUUGCCCUCCUCAUUCUCACGUUUCCCUCAAGCAAAUUCCUCCCCCUCUCACCAAAAUCUCAUCAACGGAAGUUGUAUAGAUCGUCGGCGGCGGCGUAGAUCGGCAGCAUUUCAACCCACAGCGGCUGAAAUUGAAAACCCUAGGUGAGUUGUUAUUGCCAUUCUUGUUGUUGUUGAUGUAGUUGAUGUUGUUGAUGUUGUUGUUGUUGUUGUUGUUGUUUGGGUUGUUGUUGUUGUUUGGAAUGUCGUUGUUGUUGGUGGUGUGGUGUUUAAUGGCGGUUGUUGGUGGUGUGGUGUUGUAGAUGCAUGUGGGUGAGCUGCGCGCACGCUGCGUGCAACGCCGCGCGCA